UGUCUCCUCUCCCACCCAGGGCUCAGCUGCACCGCGGAGGCUCUUUGGGAAACUGGAGUGGCUGAGUUACCAGCACGAGAAAAGCCCAAGCGGUGACUGAAUGCUCUUGUGCUGGGUGUGGGGUGCAAGAAAAGGGAAGGAACGGAGCAAGGCGCUAUGCCAGGAGCAGCCCUCAGCACCACCAUUGCUUUCGCUUGCUCUGCAGUGUCCCCAGAGCGUUUGUAACCACCAUCAGUGACCAAAACCAUGCCCCUGCUCCAUCAGUAGCAACUGGUGGCUGACAAGCGUCACCACCAAGACCUUUACCUGCACACGUUUGUCCUCAUCGUUCUCAUGUGUUAUAAUUGCUGUCUUCCCUCUCUCUGGGUAAGCACAGCUGUGUUUGGCAAGCACGUCUCCCCUUUCCUAUCAUCUAGCAUUUUUUGGGUUCAGACUGCUUUUGAAUUUAAUCUGGCCGUCUCUACAAGUGCAGUUUCUGGUCUGCUGAUGAGUUUAAGCUCCCGGUGGCUCUCUAUUAACUUGCAAAUCUCUGGCAGUGGGCAGUGGUCAUUGAACCCGAGCUGGGAAACUGAGGAUGGAAGGAGAGCAGGAUGGCAGGACAUCAGGACAUCAGGAUGGAAGGAGGGCAGGAUGCUCACACCAGCCACUUGCUCUGCCUGUCCUGCUGUUGCCUGGUGGCUCCUCAUCUGACCAUGGCGCUCUCCCAUGUUCCUGGGCCACUGGUGGGGGAACCCAGCUCAGCCCUGGUGGCCCUGGUUUUUGUUGUGCUGCAGCCACAGCUCUGCUUCACCUGCUGCUGAAGGCAGUUUUCUUUCUACGUCGAACUUCCCAGGCUCUUGCUGCUCAAAAGGCCCUCGGGGAUGUAUCGUGGCAGUGUAAAGACACGUCCCAGCAGCAGCUCUGUAAGAACCCGUCAGAAUUAAUGGCAGCUAAAGCACCUCCAGAGACUAAAGCAAGUGAAACAGCCUCCAAGACCAUUUAUCAUCAAGUAGCUGAGCAGGAUCCUUGGAUGGGGCGAAGCACAGACGUUAAAACCCACAGGGGUAAGCCCCUACAUCCUCACUUCCCAUCAGCAGGCUCCUUUCUUGCAGGCAUGUGAGCAUCGCUGCUGCUGCAGGUGGCUCAGAUGCCGAACCCAGGGCAGCCAAAGGUAUUUGGGGUUGCUGACCCCUAAAGGAGGUGGUUUCCAGGAGGAUGGGGCUGUGUCAGUGCAUUCACUGCUCUGCACGAUACUCAAGGGAUCUCUAAAUACUUGGGGCAUUUGUCAUGGUCUGCUUGGAGCAUCGUGGUGCACGCCUGGUUUGGGGCCACACGAAAGGGGCAGGACCUUUUGCUGAAAGCUUCUGGUUCUGCUUUUGUGGGUUUAUUUUCUGUACCAAAGGGAGAUGCCGUUGCUGUCUCCCUGCUCUCCUCGGCGUAGCUGGAAGCCAGCGGUAUGAAAAUAAUGAUAUUGGAAUGAAAGCGUUCUGUGCCCAGCUGCUUCCAGAACAGCCAAAAAAAGACUGAAAUGAAAAAACAUGUAGCAGCCAAGAAAUGUGCAUUCUGCCAGAGUGAACAGGACCAGAGCUCGGCUGCAGAUCUUGCCAGAGCUGAGCUAGACAUGGAAAAGCACAGUGUGCUGCAAUCUAAUGAAAACCAAAAUGUAGCUGCUGCCACAGCUGAGCUGAACCCAAAACACGCAUCUGCCGCGCUCUCGCACGACCCAGACAUCAAGUGUUUGAAGUCAUCUUUGAAAGCUUGGGCUUACAACUUCAGAGUGGGAUGGAUUCGGGGCAGCUGAGUGCCCCCGUCCCUUCCUGGUCCCCUCCUAAGAGGUCCAUGAGGGCAGCUCCGUGCGGUCCCCAUUCAGCACGCAGCUUAAUAUUCUGGCAGUCGCUUCUCCACCGGCUCGCGGGGCUGUGAGGGGUGGUUGGCCUCCCACAGCGGCUCAGUUAAGCAGACUUUUCAAAGGAGCCCCUCUCCCUCUCUCUCUCC